CUAGGGGCCAGGCAUCAGGGACCCAGUAUUUGAAGUGAAUUUCUUACUAUCCUUUCUCUUACUUUGCUCCUGGAGGCAGGAUCAAAACUACAGUGAGCACUAAAAACUCCCUAUCCCGUAAGUCUGUUCCUUGUUAAAGGGCAUCAAUCAAGACAGUCCCUUUGGUUAUUCUAAGAACUGCCAAAGCUUCCAGAAUACGCCAGCCAGCCAGUGAGGACACAAUCAGCCAUGCUCACUACCAUCAUACACAGAGACCUCCUCCCCUGAAACCUGUGACCACUGCCCUGGUCAGGUUGCUGGGGCAAGGCUGGGAUUGGCCAUGGCCCUUUUGUAAGGUGCUUCAUCCUUUCCUGCCUCCUAUGAUCCCAAGGCUAGAAAUAACUCUGAAGUUUCUCUGUUUCUCUAUUCAGCCUUCCAGAAGGCCAUGGACGAGGCCAGUGCUGUGACUUGAUCAGAGGAAGACGCCCGGGCUGGGCAGGCAUUACUGUGGAUGAAGGUUCAUCCAAUGAGCGCAUCAGAUGUUUUCACAUUGACCAAUGGGGCUUCGAGUGACCUGUUUGGCGAAGCUGUCCCCGCCUUCCGCGUCUCUGAGAGACGAAGCCAAGGCCAAGUAGAACAGCAGGGGCGUUCCAGGCCGUUCCUUCAGCGCCGUGAGGUUCUUGUGAGGUUAUCUGGAAGCCAGGUGGAAUUUGGGUCCCUUAAAGAGAAGAGGAGGGCUCCCCGGAUUCCUGGGUCCUGAGGAAAGGGGGUGUAGGACUUCUGGGUCUGAGAGGGGAGGAGGCCGGGGGCCCAGAAUCCUGGGUCCUGCGGGAAAUGGCGGCUGGAACGCAAAGCCCUGGAUCCCUCGGUAGAACAGGACUGGGAUCUGAGGAUUCCGAGUUCUGCGGGGUCCAGGGCCUGGCGGGCCGAGAAUCCCGGGGCGUGGGAGAGCAAAGGCUUGAACCCGGCCUCCUGAGUCUGAGGCCGAAGGGGCGUCUGGGCCGCACCCGGACCCCAAGGUUGGAGGGUCCCGGUCGUUGAACUCCUCUGUCUUUGGGGAAUAGGGGUUUGGGUCGGAGGGUUGCAGCUGUGGAAACUGAGGCACAGCGAACGUGUUAAUGUGCUCACACUCGCAGGCUAGCCAGAGCCACCGCGACUGGGGAGGUCGCAGUCUUCUGUGGCGCCGGCUGCGCCCCGCCGUGGCAGUACUUGCCAGAAGGUCGAUGCAGCCUCGUCGUGUGAGGCCGAAC
rnacentral:lncRNA from 1 species